AGAGCGAACGCUGGCGGCAGGCCUAACACAUGCAAGUCGAGCGGCCGUAGCAAUACGGCAGCGGCAGACGGGAGAGUAACACGUGGGAACGCGCCCUUCGGUUCGGAAUAACUCAGGGAAACUUGAGCUAAUACCGGAUACGCCCUUACGGGGAAAGAUUUAUUGCCGAAGGAACGGCCCGCGUCCGAUUAGCUAGUUGGUGAGGUAAUGGCUCACCAAGGCGACGAUCGGUAGCUGGUCUGAGAGGAUGACCAGCCUCACUGGGACUGAGACACGGCCCAGACUCCUACGGGAGGCAGCAGUGGGGAAUAUUGGACAAUGGGCGCAAGCCUGAUCCAGCCAUGCCGCGUGGAUGAUGAAGGCCUUAGGGUUGUAAAGUCCUUUUAACGGGGAAGAUAAUGACGGUACCGUAGAAUAAGCCCGGCUAACUUCGUGCCAGCAGCCGC
rnacentral:rRNA from 1 species